GUGCUCACUUCGACAGCACAUAUACUAAAAUUGGAACGAUACAGAGAAGAUGUAUGACCCCUGUGCAAGGAUGACACACAAUUUCAUGAAGCAUUCCAUAUUUUU
ensembl:snRNA U6 U6 spliceosomal RNA